rnacentral:rRNA from 1 species
GACACGCUGGCGGCGUGCCUAACACAUGCAAGUCGAACGGAGAGGACAUGAAGUAUUUCGGUACGGAAUGCUCUCUUAGUGGCGAACGGGUGAGUAACACGUGGGCAACCUGCCCCAGACUGGGGGAUAACAUUGUGAAAACAGUGCUAAUACCGCAUGACAGGGUUCCGGGCAUCCGGGACCCUUGAAAGGAGAAAUCCGGUCAGGGAUGGGCCCGCGUCCAAUUAGCUAGUUGGCGGGGUAACGGCCCACCAAAGGCGACGAUUGGUAGCCGAACUGAGAGGUUGAUCGGCCACAUUGGGACUGAGACACGGCCCAGACUCCUACGGGAGGCAGCAGUGGGGAAUAUUGGGCAAUGGGCGAAAGCCUGACCCAGCGACGCCGCGUGAAGGAUGAAGGUCUUCGGAUUGUAAACUUCUUUGAUCAGGGAAGAAAGAAAUGACGGUACCUGAAAAACAAGCCACGGCUAACUACGUG